CUGUGUGUAAGUUUUUAAGGGCGUAGGGUGGAUGCCUUGGCAACAGGAGCCGAUGAAGGACGUGGGAAUCUGCGAUAAGCCUGGGGGAGUCGAUAACCGGACGUUAUUAUUCCAGGAUUUCCGAAUGGGGAAACCCGACACUGCUUGAUGGUGUUACUGCCAGUUGAAUUCAUAGGCUGGUAGGGGGAACGUGGGGAAGUGAAACAUCUCAGUACCCACAGGAAGAGAAAACAAUUGUGAUUCCGUUAGUAGUGGCGAGCGAACGCGGAUGGGGCUAAACCGUGUGCGUGUGAUACCCGGCAGGGGUUGCGUGUGCGGGGUUGUGGGAGUGUUUGUCAUGCAUCUGCCGGUGUGUGGCGGUGAGGUGUAGGCGUAUAGGUGAAUAGUCUUGAGUGGCUGACCGGAGAGGGUGUGAGUCCCGUAACUGUAAUGCGUACUACCGCCGUAGAACAUUUCCCGAGUAGCACGGGGCCCGAGAAAUCCCGUGUGAAUCUGCCAGGACCACCUGGUAAGCCUAAAUACUCCCUGUUGACCGAUAGUGAAUCAGUACCGUGAGGGAAAGGUGAAAAGCACCCCGGGAGGGGAGUGAAAUAGUGCCUGAAACCGUGCGCCUACAAUCCGUCAGAGCCUGCAUUUGUGUGGGUGAUGGCGUGCCUUUUGAAGAAUGAGCCUGCGAGUUAGUGGCAUGUGGCGAGGUUAACCCGUGUGGGGUAGCCGUAGCGAAAGCGAGUCUGAAGAGGGCGUUUUUAGUCGCGUGUCCUAGACCCGAAGCGAAGUGAUCUACCCAUGGCCAGGUUGAAGCGUGUGUAAGAGCGCGUGGAGGACCGAACCCACUUCAGUUGAAAAUGGAGGGGAUGAGCUGUGGGUAGGGGUGAAAGGCCAAUCAAACUUCGUGAUAGCUGGUUCUCCCCGAAAUGCAUUUAGGUGCAGCGUUACGUGUUUCUUAUUGGAGGUAGAGCUACUGGAUGGCCGAUGGGCCCUACAAGGUUACUGACGUCAGCCAAACUCCGAAUACCGGUAAGUGAGAGCGUAGCAGUGAGACUAUGGGGGCUAAGCUUCAUAGUCGAGAGGGAAACAGCCCAGACCACCGAUUAAGGCCCCUAAGCGUGUGCUAAGUGGGAAAGGAUGUGGAGUUGCUUAGACAACCAGGAGGUUGGCUUAGAAGCAGCCACCCUUGAAAGAGUGCGUAAUAGCUCACUGGUCAAGUGAUUCCGCGCCGACAAUGUAGCGGGGCUCAAGUACACCGCCGAAAUCGUGGCAAACACACAUUUUUGUGUGGUUGGGUAGGGGAGCGUCGAGCACGUGGUGAAGCCGCAGAGUGAUCUAGUGGUGGAGUGUGUUCGAGUGAGAAUGCAGGCAUGAGUAGCGAAAGACGGGUGAGAAACCCGUCCGCCGAAUGACUAAGGGUUCCAGGGUCAAGCUAAUCUGCCCUGGGUAAGUCGGGACCUAAGGCGAGGCCGACAGGCGUAGUCGAUGGAUAACGGGUUGAUAUUCCCGUACCGGCGAAAAACCGUCCAUGUUGACCAAUUGAUACUAACCACCCCAAAACAUGCCAACCGGUUUAGUUUACUAUUCUGGUGGUGUGUGGCGGCGUGGGACCUGAUUUUGGAAGGCAAACGUAUUAACAGGUGUGACGCAGGAAGGUAGCCGGGCACGGCGAUGGUUGUCCGUGUCUAAGGAUGUAGGGCUGCUGGUAGGCAAAUCCGCCAGCAUCUUGUGCCUGAGAUCUGAUGGGACCCCACACUUGGUGGGGUGUAUCCGGUGAUCCUAUGCUGCCUAGAAAAGCAUCGACGUGAGGUUUUAGCCGCCCGUACCCGAAACCGACACAGGUAGUCAGGUAGAGAAUACCAAGGCGAUCGAGAGAAUCAUGGUUAAGGAACUCGGCAAAAUGCCCCCGUAACUUCGGAAGAAGGGGGACCCGGACCGUGACCCACACUAGCGGUGGUGAGCGGGUAAGGGUCGCAGAGACCAGAGAGAAGCGACUGUUUACUAAAAACACAGGUCCGUGCGAAGUCGUAAGACGAUGUAUACGGACUGACUCCUGCCCGGUGCUGGAAGGUUAAGAGGACCUGUUAGCAACCCUUGUGGUUGCGAAGCGGAGAAUUUAAGCCCCAGUAAACGGCGGUGGUAACUAUAACCAUCCUAAGGUAGCGAAAUUCCUUGUCGGGUAAGUUCCGACCUGCACGAAUGGAGCAACGACUUCUCUACUGUCUCAACCAUGAACUCGGCGAAAUUGCACUACGAGUAAAGAUGCUCGUUACGCGCAGCAGGACGGAAAGACCCCGAGACCUUUACUAUAGUUUGGUAUUGGUAUUCGGUGUGACUUGUGUAGCAUAGGUGGGAGACUAGGAAACCGGCACGCCAGUGUCGGUGGAGUCAUCGUUGAAAUACCACUCUGGUCAUAGUGAAUAUCUAACUUCGAACCAUGAUCUGGUUCAGGGACAGUGCCUGAUGGGUAGUUUAACUGGGGCGGUUGCCUCCUAAAAAGUAACGGAGGCGCCCAAAGGUUCCCUCAUCCUGGUUGGUAAUCAGGUGUCGAGUGUAAGUGCACAAGGGAGCUUGACUGUGAGACAGACAUGUCGAGCAGGGACGAAAGUCGGGACUAGUGAUCCGGCGGUACGUUGUGGAACGGCCGUCGCUCAACGGAUAAAAGGUACCUCGGGGAUAACAGGCUAAUCUUGCCCAAGAGUCCAUAUCGACGGCAUGGUUUGGCACCUCGAUGUCGGCUCGUCGCAUCCUGGGGCUGGAGUCGGUCCCAAGGGUUGGGCUGUUCGCCCAUUAAAGCGGUACGCGAGCUGGGUUUAGAACGUCGUGAGACAGUUCGGUCCCUAUCCGCUGCGCGCGCAGGAGAUUUGAGAAGAUCUGUUCCUAGUACGAGAGGACCGGAACGGACGAACCUCUGGUAUGUCAGUUGUACCGCCAGGUGCACCGCUGAUUAGCUACGUUCGGGAAGGAUAACCGCUGAAAGCAUCUAAGCGGGAAGCCAGCUUCAAGAUGAGAUCUCCAUACCAGGCCCCCAGCAAGACCACUGGGUUGAUAGGCAGGAUGUGUACGCAAGGACUAACGACUUGCUCAGCUGACCUGUACUAAUAAGCCGAUAACUUACACACAA
rnacentral:rRNA from 1 species